rnacentral:rRNA from 1 species
GAAGUUGGAUUCGCUAGUAAUCGCGCAUCAGCCAUGGCGCGGUGAAUACGUUCCCGGGCCUUGUACACACCGCCCGUCAAGCCAUGGGAGCCGGGGGUGCCUGAAGUUCGUUACCGUAAGGAUCGACCUAGGGCAAAACUGGUGACUGGGGCUAAGUCGUAACAAGGUAAC